UAAAGAUUCCCUAUGGGUUACUGAAAACUCCCGGCUUGUUUGGGGAAAAUGGCUCCCAACCCAGCAAUGGAAAUACCUGUAUCAUGACAAAUCUAGAGAGAUGCAGUUCAUGUGAUAGCAAAUUUAGUGCCAGAUUUAAAGUAAGACCAAGUUGCAGAAAGACAUAGAGCACAUCUUCCAGAACAUUCUACCCAAUCUAGAUCCCUGCCAGCCAUUUGUCCAGAGCUGACCAUGAAGAAAUUCUUCAACCUGCACACAGAGAGGCUAAGAAGAAUCUGACCAGACAAGAGUUGCUGGGUUUCCACCAUUCAGUGUGUUACAAUACAUCAUAACUUUUUGUUCAAUCACAAUUCUAUGGCUGUCCAUUCCUCCUCAUCAAACUUUUGCAUAAAAACCAUUCUCCCUGGAUUUUCAGGGAAGGCUUCUGUGUAAUGUAAAACUUUGAUUAAAUACAUCUGUUAUGCUUUUC